rnacentral:rRNA from 1 species
GGCGAACGGGUGAGUAACACGUGGGCAACUGCCCCCGGCUCCGGGAUAACUCCAAGAAAUUGGGGCUAAUACCGGAUAUGUCCGCUGACCGCAUGGUCCGGUGGUGGAAAGAUUUUUUCGGCUGGGGAUGGGCCCGCGGCCUAUCAGCUGGUUGGUGGGGUAGUGGCCCACCAAGGCGACGACGGGUAGCCGGCCUGAGAGGGUGACCGGCCACACUGGGACUGAGACACGGCCCAGACUCCUACGGGAGGCAGCAGUGGGGAAUAUUGCGCAAUGGGCGAAAGCCUGACGCAGCGACGCCGCGUGGGGGAUGACGGCCUUCGGGUUGUAAACCUCUUUCAGCUUCGACGAAGCCUUUCGGGGUGACGGUAGGAGCAGAAGAAGCACCGGCCAACUACGUGCCAGCCGCCGCGG